UGCCAUGUGGAUACGGUAGCUGAAGAGAGCCGUCCGUUGACAGUUCACUAUGGACGCUGUCAUGGAGUCGCUCUCUUCAGACUCCUAGAUCCGUGAAUUUGCCCAC
rnacentral:pre_miRNA from 1 species